UGAAGUCGGAAUUGCUAGUAAUGGCAGGUCAGCAUACUGCCGUGAAUACGUUCCCGGGCCUUGUACACACCGCCCGUCACACCAUGAGAGUUGGAGAUACCCGAAGCCUAUGAGCUAACUUUUAGAGGCAGUAGUCGAAGGUAGAAUCAAUGAUUGGGGUGAAGUCGUAACAAGGUAUC
rnacentral:rRNA from 1 species